rnacentral:lncRNA from 1 species
GGUUAAGCCAAACCUGGCAAACUUUGCCCUGGGGAGGAUGAAGAACACUCACCUGGAGCAUCGAGGUGGUCUGGAUGGGGCUGGAGCCUGCAGGAGAUGGAUGGAGAGGCUUUAAAGCACCUCAGGGAUGGUUUGAGGAAAGUUUUGUUGACUCCAGGAGGGAGAAACAGUUUUGCAGGGAGCAGAGACACAGCAUGGAGCUCAUGGCAUCGCUGUCAAGCACCAAGAUGAAAGGAUGGGGUCCUAUCCUGCACAGUUCAAGGAGUUUCUCUUGAACUCCCUCCAAACCAGAGCCUCUUUCUACCUCCAGGGAGGGCAUAAAGGAACCACAGUAAAAAUAAACAACCCUCCCAGGUUAAAAUGUUCCACCCUCACCUCCUGCUGCAACCUGAGCUCCCGAGAUGAGGACACACAGCCCUGAUGCUGUUCAAAGCCCAUGGCUCACCCAGCCCCGUGAUGCCACCAAGGGGUGUUUGCUCAUCCUCGGGAUCCAGCACAGCAGGAUCUGAACUUCCAGUGGCCUGUGCCAGGGCAGGAGAUGCUGAACAGGGGCAUCUGAGUUUCUGACCCUCUUGUUCCUGAGGAACCUGGGUUUUCCCAGUUUGUCCCAGGGCCACCACAGAGAAGAAAUUCCACGAUCACAUCCACAUCAUUGCACCCAGUCCUGUACUGGUCCUACCAAGAAAAAAAACCACCACAAAUCAACUCAAAAGCCCAUUUCCCAGUACCUUCCACCCCUUUCUAAGGCAAUCAUCUCUCUGUCCUGCUCCUAUCACCUCCCUCCCACCCCUGCUGUCUCCGGGAAGCGAAGGGUUAAAAGCUCUGAAACUGUAAGAACUUCCUCCUUUCUGCAGUGCCACCCUCGGAAUGACGCUGGUUUCUGCCGGGCUUUGCCCAAAUAUGUCCGUUUCCUUCUGAAAGACGGAGGAGGAAGGAAAGAAAUAGAGAUACAGAAGAAACAGCUAUAUUUUAGUGUCUAUAUCGAAGAGAAGGCGUCCGCGCCCGGGGAACCCAGGCGUCCGAGCGCAGCCCUGCCUCCUCCCGCUCCAUGCCGUUCCGCAAAGGUGGCUUUGGCAAAGGCAGAGAAUGGAUUUCCACCUCCUGCCAGCUGUGAAGAUCACGUGCAUGGGGGAACACAGUCAGCAAAGCCUUUGUUUCCCUUAAACAUUAAAUCACCUCUGGUUGCUGCUUUCCCUUUUUUUUUUUUUUUUUUCUUCUCUUAAUAACUUCUGGGUGCAGCUGAGCUGCUGAGAAACCAAUCACAUGCAAAACAUUUACACCAUAAAUAAAAGAACAAUGCAAUAAACCA